AAAGAGUCGGGCAGAGAAGGGGGGAUCGCACUUCUGAUGCUCUUUCCAAGCAGCUUUGGUGGAAAUAUUGGACAUGAUCCGCAUCUGCUGUAUACACUCAAUGCUUUGCAAGUUUUGGCCCUUUCUGACAAGUUAGAUGUUCUUGACAUCAAUAAGCCACAUAAGGCUCGCUAAUUCCGGAGUAGAAUUACGCAUAAAACAAUGAAGCACCAGGGAAGUAAAUUGAGAUGCACAACUGCCUGACCAAGCACCUUGCGACGAAGUGGCUCAUUUUUCUCUCUUCUUUCAGUUCAAAUCAGAAGAUUGUUGCAAAACGGAGAACGGGAACGUGGGAGAAAUCAUUAAGCUACAAGAUCUGGUGCUUCUGCUUCAACAUAUGACAAAGCCGUGUGUACUUUGUCCAGCCAAUUGUCCAGUCGGCCAUGCAGUAAUUUGACCUGUGGAAUCCCCAAAACUCUUGGCCGCACCCAUGAAACGUAUACUGUCCCCUCAACUUGAUCGAUUAUGCCCUCCACAAGAUGAACCUGAGUUGAGAUUCUAAUGAUUAGACUACUGUAAAAUAAGGUAAAUGCUUGAAUAUCGGUUUUCCAUUUAGUAUGCUAGAGCAGAGAAGGUGCAAGCAAUUACAACAUCCAUGUAUUUGCCAUUA